CCUACGGGUGGCAGCAGUGAGGAAUAUUGGUCAAUGGGCUUACGCCUGAACCAGCCAAGUCGCGUGAGGGAAGACUGCCCUAUGGGUUGUAAACCUCUUUUGUCAGGGAGCAAUUGGCGCUACGUGUAGCGUUCUCGAGAGUACCUGAAGAAAAAGCAUCGGCUAACUCCUUGCCAGCAGCCGCGGUAAUCCGGAGGAUGCGGGCGUUCUCCGGAUUGAUUGGGUUUAAAGGGUGCGUAGGCGGAAUGCCAAGUCAGCGGUAAAAUCGCGGGGCUCAACCUCGCUCCGCGGUUGAAACUGGCGGUCUGGAGUGGGCGAGAAGUAUGCGGAAUGCGGGGUGUAGCGGUGAAAUGCAUAGAUAUCACGCAGAACUCCGAUUGCGAAGGCAGCAUACCGGCGCCAAACUGACGCUGAAGCACGAAAGCGUGGGUAUCGAACAGGAUUAGAUACCCUUGUAGUC
rnacentral:rRNA from 1 species